AUCACUUGAGAACCUUGUUAAAAUGCAGAUUCUGAUUCAGUGGGCCUGAGGUGGAGCCUGAGAUUCUGCAUUUCUAAUGUGUUCUAGGUGAUGCUGA
rnacentral:pre_miRNA from 1 species